rnacentral:tRNA from 1 species
GCCCCCGUAGCCCAAUUGGCAGAGGCACCAGCCUUAAAAGCUGGACAGUGUUGGUUCGAACCCGACCGGGGGCACCC